rnacentral:misc_RNA from 1 species
GAUGAAACUAGUGAAAGAGUUAAUAAAAAGUUGGAAUUAUGGAGAAGGACUUUUCAGAGCAAGAUUUUUAAGAUUGUAGAAAUAAAAUAAAAUAUAUGAAGUUUGAGUUUAGCUCUCGUAAAAUGAAUGGAGAUAAAAUUCGUUUGGAUAGAGUUUUGGUGCCAUAGUGUAAUCAAUUCAAGUAUUUAUGCUCUAUCAUAUAGAAGAAUAGAAUUUUAGAUGAGGAUGUAACUCACAGAAUCAAUGCA